rnacentral:rRNA from 1 species
AGAGUUUGAUCCUGGCUCAGGACGAACGCUGGCGGCGCGCCUAACACAUGCAAGUCGAACGAGAGAUGAGGAGCUUGCUCUUCAAAUCGAGUGGCGAACGGGUGAGUAACGCGUGAGGAACCUGCCUCAAAGAGGGGGACAACAGUUGGAAACGACUGCUAAUACCGCAUAAGCCCACGGCUCGGCAUCGAGCAGAGGGAAAAGGAGCAAUCCGCUUUGAGAUGGCCUCGCGUCCGAUUAGCUAGUUGGUGAGGUAACGGCCCACCAAGGCGACGAUCGGUAGCCGGACUGAGAGGUUGAACGGCCACAUUGGGACUGAGACACGGCCCAGACUCCUACGGGAGGCAGCAGUGGGGAAUAUUGCACAAUGGGGGAAACCCUGAUGCAGCGACGCCGCGUGGAGGAAGAAGGUCUUCGGAUUGUAAACUCCUGUUGUUGAGGAAGAUAAUGACGGUACUCAACAAGGAAGUGACGGCUAACUACGUGCCAGCAGCCGCGGUAAAACGUAGGUCACAAGCGUUGUCCGGAAUUACUGGGUGUAAAGGGAGCGCAGGCGGGAGAACAAGUUGGAAGUGAAAUCCAUGGGCUCAACCCAUGAACUGCUUUCAAAACUGUUUUUCUUGAGUAGUGCAGAGGUAGGCGGAAUUCCCGGUGUAGCGGUGGAAUGCGUAGAUAUCGGGAGGAACACCAGUGGCGAAGGCGGCCUACUGGGCACCAACUGACGCUGAGGCUCGAAAGUGUGGGUAGCAAACAGGAUUAGAUACCCUGGUAGUCCACACCGUAAACGAUGAUUACUAGGUGUUGGAGGAUUGACCCCUUCAGUGCCGCAGUUAACACAAUAAGUAAUCCACCUGGGGAGUACGACCGCAAGGUUGAAACUCAAAGGAAUUGACGGGGGCCCGCACAAGCAGUGGAGUAUGUGGUUUAAUUCGACGCAACGCGAAGAACCUUACCAAGUCUUGACAUCCCUUGACGAACAUAGAAAUAUGUUUUCUCUUCGGAGCAAGGAGACAGGUGGUGCAUGGUUGUCGUCAGCUCGUGUCGUGAGAUGUUGGGUUAA